rnacentral:rRNA from 1 species
CAGUCUUACCUGCGGACAAUCAGCUUUUGAGUGUGAUUAUGUGGAUUGUGAGGAGUUUAAUCACCCUCAUGUUUUGCAUAUUCGUGCUCUUGGGUGUACUUGCCCGUGUGGUAGGUUAACAUCAAUUUCGGACGUCAUAAAAUGAUUGGAGGAAUGUAGCUUUGAUCUCGUAUCGAAGUGUUAUAGCCUUUGGUAGAUGUGACGAUUGGGGAUUGGAGGAUUGCAACGGAUCGCCCCGUCGGGGUUACCCGUC